ACUCCUACGGGAGGCAGCAGUGGGGAAUUUUGGACAAUGGGCGAAAGCCUGAUCCAGCAAUGCCGCGUGAGUGAAGAAGGCCUUCGGGUUGUAAAGCUCUUUUGUCAGGGAAGAAACGGUGAGAGCUAAUAUCUCUUGCUAAUGACGGUACCUGAAGAAUAAGCACCGGCUAACUACGUGCCAGCAGCCGCGGUAAUACGUAGGGUGCAAGCGUUAAUCGGAAUUACUGGGCGUAAAGCGUGCGCAGGCGGUUUUGUAAGUCUGAUGUGAAAUCCCCGGGCUCAACCUGGGAAUUGCAUUGGAGACUGCAAGGCUAGAAUCUGGCAGAGGGGGGUAGAAUUCCACGUGUAGCAGUGAAAUGCGUAGAUAUGUGGAGGAACACCGAUGGCGAAGGCAGCCCCCUGGGUCAAGAUUGACGCUCAUGCACGAAAGCGUGGGGAGCAAACAGGAUUAGAAACCCUGGUAGUCCCAUGA
rnacentral:rRNA from 1 species